rnacentral:pre_miRNA from 1 species
AUUUUAGCGUAAGUACGCCCCAUGCAAUAUUUGGGACAUACUUAUACUAAAA